rnacentral:rRNA from 1 species
UACGUAGGGUGCGAGCGUUGUCCGGAAUUACUGGGCGUAAAGAGCUCGUAGGUGGUUUGUCGCGUUGUUCGUGAAAACUCACAACUCAAUUGUGGGCGUGCGGGCGAUACGGGCAGACUGGAGUACUGCAGGGGAGACUGGAAUUCCUGGUGUAGCGGUGGAAUGCGCAGAUAUCAGGAGGAACACCGAUGGCGAAGGCAGUUCUCUGGGCCGUAACUGACGCUGAGGAGCGAAAGCGUGGGGAGCGAACAGG